rnacentral:lncRNA from 1 species
AGGCCGAGUGGGGGCGCUCGGCGACUCUCUGUGUCUUCCUCAGGCCUCGCGGCUGGAAAUCGGCGAUUACCUCAUUAUAAGGAAAAUGAAUCACUCCUCAAAGGCAAAAGGUCUCAAUGUUCCAAAAUCAGAUAAGCAACACUCAAAAAAAAGCCACACAGCACAUUUGCCACAGGUUUCAAAGGCAGAGGAGAUACCAGCGCAAGAAGACAUUUCAGCUCGAAAAAUACAGAGAGCAUGGUUCAUGCAUUUGGACAAAGUGAUAUUUCAACUCCUAAAACACACAAUUUGUGCAGCGGAGUAUUGCGUGACUCAUGAAAUACUGAAGAAUGUGAGCCCCUCAGAAGCUAAACUCACUAAAGAUCCUAGCAUGAAGUGUAAAGUCAGAUUCAGAUUUAGUGGUGAAACAUUUCCACCUUUCAUCGUGUUUAAAAUUUUUCUUCAUACUGAGGGCCAUGGUUACAAGUAUUUCAGCGGGAAAAAUUUAUUCAAACCAUCAAGCAAGGCAGUAAUUGAUGCUUGCAAAAUGAUGGGAAGACAGAAAUUUUACGAGCAAAUUAUGGAAGAUGAACGUCUUUUUCAGAAGUUCAAAGUAACUGACCACGUAGAUAUUGUCACCACACAAGAUUACAUGCAACAACCGCAAACAGCCGCGCCACCUAAAAGGGUACAAGAGACGACUGUGUUCUCCAGCCCAUCUUUCAACAUUGUGAAAUAUAAAGAAUUCACCUCAAGUAGUGACUUAAAAGAAGAAGAAGAAGAAGAAGAGAAAGAAGUAUUUGCCUGGUAUCAACAGUUGUAUCAUCAGUAUUUUCCAUGAUGUCAAUACAGAGCUAACUGACAGGACACCAAAGUUGCAUGUCUGUCUAAAAAUAAAGGAGAAUCAAAUAGAAGCA